GACGAACGCUGGCGGCGUGCUUAACACGUGCCAGUCGAACGGAAAGGCCCUGCUUGCAGGGUACUCGAGUGGCGAACGGGUGAGUAACACGUGGGUGAUCUGCCCUGCACUUCGGGAUAAGCCUGGGAAACUGGGUCUAAUACCGGAUAGGAGCCAUUUUUAGUGUGAUGGUUGGAAAGUUUUUUCGGUGUAGGAUGAGCUCGCGGCCUAUCAGCUUGUUGGUGGGGUAAUGGCCUACCAAGGCGGCGACGGGUAGCCGGCCUGAGAGGGUGGACGGCCACAUUGGGACUGAGAUACGGCCCAGACUCCUACGGGAGGCAGCAGUGGGGAAUAUUGCACAAUGGGCGCAAGCCUGAUGCAGCGACGCCGCGUGGGGGAUGACGGCCUUCGGGUUGUAAACUCCUUUCGCUAGGGACGAAGCUUUUUGUGACGGUACCUAGAUAAGAAGCACCGGCUAACUACGUG
rnacentral:rRNA from 1 species